rnacentral:rRNA from 1 species
UACGUAGGGUGCAAGCGUUGUCCGGAAUUAUUGGGCGUAAAGAGCUCGUAGGCGGUUUGUCGCGUCUGCUGUGAAAUCCCGAGGCUCAACCUCGGGUCUGCAGUGGGUACGGGCAGACUGGAGUGCGGUAGGGGAGAAUGGAAUUCCUGGUGUAGCGGUGGAAUGCGCAGAUAUCAGGAGGAACACCGAUGGCGAAGGCAGUUCUCUGGGCCGUAACUGACGCUGAGGCGCGAAAGCGUGGGGAGCGAACAGG